rnacentral:rRNA from 1 species
AUUUGCGUCGAAGGUAUACCGGUAAGGAGUGCUGGAGCGAAUAGAAGUGAGCAUGCAGGCAUGAGUAGCGAUAAUUAAUGUGAGAAUCAUUAACGCCGUAAACCCAAGGUUUCCUACGCGAUGCUCGUCAUCGUAGGGUUAGUCGGGUCCUAAGUCGAGUCCGAAAGGGGUAGACGAUGGCAAAUUGGUUAAUAUUCCAAUACCAACAUUAGUGUGCGAUGGAAGGACGCUUAGGGCUAAGGGGGCUAGCGGAUGGAAGUGCUAGUCUAAGGUCGUAGGAGGUUAUACAGGCAAAUCCGUAUAACAAUACUCCGAGAACUGAAAGGCUUUUUGAAGUCUUCGGAUGGAUAGAAGAACCCCUGAUGCCGUCGAGCCAAGAAAAGUUUCUAAGUUUAGCUAAUGUUGCCCGUACCGUAAACCGACACAGGUGGGUGGGAUGAGUAUUCUAAGGCGCGUGGAAGAACUCUCUUUAAGGAACUCUGCAAAAUAGCACCGUAUCUUCGGUAUAAGGUGUGGUUCGCUUCGUAUUAGGAUUUACUCCGAAAGCGAAGAAACUUACAACAAAGAGUCCCUCCCGACUGUUUACCAAAAACACAGCACUCUGCUAACUCGUAAGAGGAUGUAUAGGGUGUGACGCCUGCCCGGUGCUCGAAGGUUAAUUGAUGGGGUUAGCAUUAGCGAAGCUCUUGAUCGAAGCCCGAGUAAACGGCGGCCGUAACUAUAACGGUCCUAAGGUAGCGAAAUUCCUUGUCGGUUAAAUACCGACCUGCAUGAAUGGCGUAACGAGAUGGGAGCUGUCUCAAAGAGGGAUCCAGUGAAAUUGUAGUGGAGGUGAAAAUUCCUCCUACCCGCGGCAAGACGGAGAGACCCCGUGGACCUUUACUACAGCUUGACACUGCUAUUUGGAUAAGAAUGUGCAGGAUAGGUGGGAGGCUUUGAGUAUAUGACGCCAGUUGUAUAUGAGCCAUUGUUGAGAUACCACUCUUUCUUAUUUGGGUAGCUAACUAGCUUGAGUUAUCCUCAAGUGGGACAAUGUCUGGUGGGUAGUUUGACUGGGGCGGUCGCCUCCCAAAUAAUAACGGAGGCUUACAAAGGUUGGCUCAGAACGGUUGGAAAUCGUUCGUAGAGUAUAAAGGUAUAAGCCAGCUUAACUGCAAGACAUACAAGUCAAGCAGAGACGAAAGUCGGUCUUAGUGAUCCGGUGGUUCUGUGUGGAAGGGCCAUCGCUCAAAGGAUAAAAGGUACCCCGGGGAUAACAGGCUGAUCUCCCCCAAGAGCUCACAUCGACGGGGAGGUUUGGCACCUCGAUGUCGGCUCAUCGCAUCCUGGGGCUGGAGCAGGUCCCAAGGGUAUGGCUGUUCGCCAUUUAAAGCGGUACGCGAGCUGGGUUCAGAACGUCGUGAGACAGUUCGGUCCCUAUCUGCCGUGGGCGUAAGAAGAUUGAAGAGAUUUGACCCUAGUACGAGAGGACCGGGUUGAACAAACCACUGGUGUAGCUGUUGUUCUGCCAAGAGCAUCGCAGCGUAGCUAAGUUUGGAAAGGAUAAACGCUGAAAGCAUCUAAGCGUGAAGCCAACUCUAAGAUGAAUCUUCUCUAAGCUCUCUAGAAGACUACUAGUUUGAUAGGCUGGGUGUGUAAUGGAUGAAAGUCCUUUAGCUGACCAGUACUAAUAGAGCGUUUGGCUUAUCUUUAAUAAAGCAU